UUUUUAAAACCUACUAUCUACUGGCUGCCUAAAAAAAUACUAGUUUGAUCCAAUGAAUUAGAUUGACACACUGUUAGGAAUGCCCUUGCCGGUGAGUCCACCCUCUCUGGAGUAAUCUGUGGUGUUAGGAAAGAGUAAAGUCUUCCUUCCAAAUCUCUCAAAUGCUGCCAGCAGUUCACUAUCUGAAGUCCACUCGGGAGUAUCUCUCUGUCCAAGGUAAACCUCAUCAGUCGAAUGUCUUGAUAAAAUCUCAAUCAGUGAUACACCGAGUAGGGUUUGUAGCUGGGCUGUGAUUGUUUUCAGGAAGGCUACAUCUGGAUUUUUCGCAAGCUCAUCGUACUCAGGGGUCCCUGGCUCAGGCAUGAAUCGACGGCUUAUGGUGGGGCGGUUAGGGAGGUAGCCAGCAUAUGGAUAUUGCCCAAAAUUGACAGCUGCAUGGAGGGCCGAGGCUAUCCAUAUGAUAACGGUGCAUGUUUGUGUGACAUCAGGUAGUGUCUGCAUCUCAGGCCACCAUGGUUCAUCCUUCUUGUCACCAUGGCCGACAUUACGGAUCUCUGUCCACCAUGAUUGGAGUUCACUAUCACCUUGAAUCAAAUCAUCUGUGGGGUAGUAGAAAGCACAAUAUUCCUUGACCCAUGUUUCAAUUGCUGACCAGAUUUGUAGCCCAUCAACAGCAUAGGGAUAAUCUUCUAUCAGAAGUCUGAGGCCAUGUGGCUGGCUUGAAUCUUGAACUGCCACUCCUCUUGAUGAUAGCGAAGUUGGAUAGAUUUUAGUUUGGCUUCCGAUAGAAAGUAAAGAUAAGAGGGUAUUUUUAUGGUUUAAGGUUCGGUGCUUUACCUUUUGAUGAGAUCUGCAGGGAGUGCCUGCUCAGUGAAAACCCAGUUCUUGUAAACAAAAGAAGACAUUUCCAUUGCAUAUUUAGCUGGGAAAACAGUUUUCUCCAGUACUCCAUCAGCAUUGAUGAGGAUCUGCCUAGCCAAGGCAUUUAUAUUCAUCGUGUCACGAAAAUGAGGAUGCAAAAGCUUGUUGAUGGGGUGAAUAACACUCAAUUGUCUGUUUGUGGCAAUCACAAAUGGCUCUAUUACAGCAUGAGUGUUCAGCCUGCAAACAUGAGCAGAAUCAGUCCGGUGAAUUCUUAAUUAGAACAAGCUUCAAGUUAUGCCAUUAUGAAAGCCCUUUUGAUUUGGAAUCAUACCAGUGGCUAACAAGCUGGUGGUAUCCAGAAUCAUUUACAGCAGCAUAAGCUUUGGCCAGUUGCCAUACUGAGCCUUCAACACCAUGUUCUGCUGGGGUGAAAACCUUGCUGACAGCACCAUGAUGGUCCCCUUGUGGAUGUGGUAGACUCAACUCAAUUGCCAAUGGCUUCAAUGUCCCGUCAUCUUGAAGCAACAGGAUUGUUCUAGAGGCAUAAGUCUUUGUGCUGGUUGAGUUUAUUCGCCUCAGGUAGACAGACAACCUUGAGUGUUCCUUGAUUCUAAUGUUGAAUACAUGGUAUAGACAAGGACGUGAAAGAAAUGAAUCAUGAUUAGUACUUGAUCUACGGUUAGGCCAUUCAUGUUCUCUUCUAUUAACUCUUUUCUUAUUGAGCUGUUCUGAUUUCCAUAUGCUUUAGGGUCUAGCUUGCUGGCUGGAGGAAACUCCUGCAGGUAUAUUUUACUAAUUUAUCAAGCUUUAAAGAUCAUAAAAAAAUAAUCAUCAGGUAGUCUAAUGCAAGUUGUGUUUUACUUGGAGGCGACUAAUGAUAACUGGGUUGACUCCAGCAAGCAUUUCCCGUGCAAA